GACGAACGCUGGCGGCAUGCCUAACACAUGCAAGUCGAACGAGACCUUCGGGUCUAGUGGCGCACGGGUGCGUAACGCGUGGGAACCUGCCCUUAGGUUCGGAAUAACUCCCCGACAGGGGUGCUAAUACCGGAUAAUGUCUUCGGACCAAAGAUUUAUCGCCUUUGGAUGGGCCCGCGUUGGAUUAGCUAGUUGGUAGGGUAAAAGCCUACCAAGGCGACGAUCCAUAGCUGGUCUGAGAGGAUGAUCAGCCACACUGGGACUGAGACACGGCCCAGACUCCUACGGGAGGCAGCAGUGGGGAAUAUUGGACAAUGGGCGAAAGCCUGAUCCAGCAAUGCCGCGUGAGCGAUGAAGGCCUUAGGGUUGUAAAGCGCUUUUACCCGGGAUGAUAAUGACAGUACCGGGAGAAUAAGCUCCGGCUAACUCCGUG
rnacentral:rRNA from 1 species